AUAAAAACCCGGCGAAACCUAAAGCCACGGAGAUAUCCGAUUGCACGCAAAACGAGUUCGAGUCCGUACACGUGGGCGUACCUCUUAGCGUUUUCGCGAACGCCGUUCCCGCGGAGUCCGCCGACAACAAUAACAGGAACCUGAUCGUGGCCGAAGUCGAACCAAACUUGGAGGAUUUCGGGGAAGAGAGUGGAGCCAGUGGAGAUCUCCCAAACGGAAACGCCCAUUUCGAACAAUGAAUAUAGAGCAACGAUUGCGUUCGCGGCGAAAACGAAUCUGCGGUGAGAUUUCGAGUUUUGAAUUUUAAAUUUCUUUAAAGCUUUAGUUUUUUGAAUUCGAAUUUUGGAGGAAAAGAAAAAGAAAAUUAAAUGCUUUCUUAUAA